CAGAUCAGGCGAGGGUGAGCGGCUUGCGGACAUGAAGGCCGCGACCCAGCAGGAUGCACCAGGAGUGCUGCCGCGCGUGGGCUUAGAGGUAGAUGACAGGGACUGAGGGACCACAGGACGGUGUGGAGAUGUGCAACUUUGAUGUCAUUUCAGAACCGAGUCAAAGCUGUUUGACAGAAACGGGAAAAGUGCGUCUCUCUCUCUCUCUCUCUCUCUCUCUCUCUCUCUCUCUCUCUCUCUCUCUCUCUCUCUCUCACAUACACACACAAACCUUUCAAAAUUCCCCAGUGAAAACAAAUAAAUGCACAUGCUGCUCGGCCCUUGAUUUUGGGACUUUGACAGAAAUUUGAAUGUAAUUCUGUUUGGAUUUAAAUGAGGAGAGCAUCAAAACAUACUAAUUGAAUUAUGAUUAACACGUGAGUCACUGCGAGUGACUGUGACCACAUUGUUGAGAUCUGAAGGAAUUCCUCUGUUUGUGCAACGAUACGUGGGAGAAUAAUUAGCGUCAAUUAAAAGCUGUUAAUAAACCUCUUUAAAACAGCUAACUUUUUUUCAUUGGCAGCAAUGGAGGUUUCUUUCUUGGAAGGUAUUCAUGUGCUAAUAUAGAUUUUAAAAGCACAUCUGAAGUACCUGUUGCAUAUAUGGCUGAUCAUUUAUACAAGCAGUACACAACAGGUAAAAUGAACAAUAAUAAUGUUUUGUAGCGUUCACAUUUCUGACAGGAUUCAAGUGCAAAUGUGAAAAGUCUGAAAUCUGA